UAAUUAAAAUUUAACCUAACAAACUUUAUUUCUCACAUGCAUUCCCUGAAAGGCUGAAACUGCAACUGUAACAGCAACAACCACCACUAGAUUCAGUGACUCUUGAUGAGAAAUUCAAAUAUGCUGCAGACUCAAACGGGAAGAUGAACAAGAAGAGCAGAAAUUUCAGUAUACGAAGCAUCGUACAUUUGUGGGUUCUGAAGAGAGUAGAUGUGUAUAGCUUUUCUGUUACAGUGGUCGGAACCCUGACAUCCGCCUACAAUAUUUUUCAAAAUUUUCUUUAUUAUGAAACUCUCCUUCUAUAGCUCUCUGUAUGUUUGCAUAAAAAUUAAUACAUACUGAAAUACACAGCAGUCAAUUUUAAUGUAAAUCAUCAUAAUCGCAAAUUAAAUAGUCUUCAACAAGAACGGCAGGCGGGUGCAGUCGAAGCCAGAGUAGGUGAGAUAUAUAUGUUUGAAAGCUGGGUUAAGCGUAGCUAUGAUCAUGGGAGGAGUUCAAUUCAUGGAAAGCCAACAUGGUAAAUAUCGUUUCUUUUGAUUUAUCAAAUUUGCGAAAAUUUUUAUGGCCGAAAAGAUUAAAAACUGGAAUCUCCUGCAUUUUAUAUUCUUAUAGAAAAUGAGAAAGUCAAUCACUCUUGUUUUUUGAAUCAGAGAAAUUUUAGAAUUUGAGAUUUUUCUUUUUUAUUAAAAUUUGAGUUUUAUUGAUGAAAGAUUAGAUCUGUUUGAGGAAUUAACAUUCUGAAAUAUGAAAAAUAAAUUAACCAUUCUAUUUUUAUUUUUUAAAACAAAAGGAGAGGAAAUUAACCAUAGUUUAUUAAUUAGUAAUUAAGCAGAGCAGUCUACUAAGGCCUAUAUCCUUUUACAACUAAACUACAGAUGAAAAGACAGAUUAGGGAAUUACAAUUGAAAUAAGUGGGUAGCUUGCUUCUAGAUUAUAACACGCUAAACCUAAUUAU